rnacentral:rRNA from 1 species
CAGUAGCCGCGGUAACACGAAGGGUGCGAGCGUUAAUCGGAAUUACUGGGCGUAAAGCGUGCGCAGGCGGUUAUAUAAGACAGAUGUGAAAUCCCCGGGCUCAACCUGGGACCUGCAUUUGUGACUGUAUAGCUAGAGUACGGUAGAGGGGGAUGGAAUUCCGCGUGUAGCAGUGAGAUGCGUAGAUAUGCGGAGGAACACCGAUGGCGAAGGCAGUCCCCUGGACCUGUACUGACGCUCAUGCACGAAAGCGUGGGGAUCAAACAGGAUUAGAUACCCGAGUAGUCCCUGUCUCUUAUAC